UUUAUAUACUCUUUGGUUCAUGGGAUCAAUUCAACCGUCAUCGUGCCGUCGUUUUGUAAGAAAAAUAUCUCUUUGUCUUUUAUGAUUAUUGGUGAUCAUCAUCUUGACCAAUCCAUUGCCGGCUCAUUUGUUGAAAAUCUGCAUAAUGUAUUUUAUUACAUUCCAACAAUGUUACAAGAACCUUCAUCAAGCAAAUCUACAACAGAGUCAGCCGGUUCAAGUCAAAACCAGGUGGACCAAGAUACCCAACUUUGUGUCUCUGCACCAGAAGAGUUUUGCUAAGUCGGAGUCUCAGUACCAGUACCAGUAGAGGAAAACCCAGCGAGAGAAGCAGUCACUCACCACCACCCGCUCUUUUAAUACGUUGGGGAAGAUCAGCUCUGAGGCAAUGUUACAAGAACCUUCAUCAAGCAAAUCUACAACAGAGUCGGCGGGUUCAAGUCAAAACCAGGUGGACCAAGAUACCCAACUUUGUGUCUCUGCACCAGAAGAGUUUUGCUAAGUCGGAGUUUCAGUACCAGUACCAGUAGAGGAAAACCCAGCGAGAGAAGCAGUCACUCACCACCACCCGCUCUUUUAAUACGUUGGGGAAGAUCAGCUCUGAGGCAAUGUUACAAGAACCUUCAUCAAGCAAAUCUACAACAGAGUCGGCGGGUUCAAGUCAAAACCAGGUGGACCAAGAUACCCAACUUUGUGUCUCUGCACCAGAAGAGUUUUGCUAAGUCGGAGUUUCAGUACCAGUACCAGUAGAGGAAAACCCAGCGAGAGAAGCAGUCACUCACCACCACCCGCUCUUUUAAUACGUUGGGGAAGAUCAGCUCUGAGGGUAAGAAAUACAAUGAUUAUUGGUGAUCAUCAUCAUGACCAAUCCAUCGCCGGCUCAUUUGUUGAAAAUCUGCAUAAUGUAUCUUAUUACAUUCCAACAAUGUUACAAGAACCUUCAUCAAGCAAAUCUACAACAGAGUCAGCGGGUUCAAGUCAAAGCCAGGUGGACCAAGAUACCCAACUUUGUGUCUCUGCACCAGAAGAGCUUUGCUAAGUCGGAGUCUCAGCACCAGUACCAGUAGAGGAAAACCCAGCGAGACAAGCAGUUGCUCACCACCACCUGCUCUGUUGAUACGUGGGGGAAGAUCAGCUCUGAGGCAAUGUUACAAGAACCUUCAUCAAGCGAAUCUACAAUAGAGUCAGCCGGUUCAAGUCAAAGCCAGGUGGACCAAGAUACCCAACUUUGUGUCUCUGCCCCAGAAGAGCUUUGCUAAGUCGGAGUCUCAGCACCAGUACCAGUAGAGGAAAACCCAGCGAGAGAAGCAGUCGCUCACCACCACCCGCUCUGUUGAUAUGUUGGAGAAGAUCAGCUUUAUGGGUAAGAAAUGCAAUGAAUAUUGUUAGUAUAGUAGAAUUAAGCAAAAUAAAACCUUGAACUUUUACUGAAUGAUAUAGAAAUGUUUAUUAGUUUAGUAUAAAUGACUGUAGAUCAUCUAUAGUAAUAAUAAAUAAUGAGUGAAGUGUCUGUCUGUAGUUUCGAAAUAACUACCUCAUAUUUGAACUGUACCACAACUGAAUCACACUGCCACCCUCCCACACACAACCCGCACCCUAAUUCAUGAGCCCUGUCAACUACACCUAUAGUUGGCUUUUAUUUUUAAUUUUGUACCUUUUCUGUAUGUGUUGUGCAAUUCGUAUGUUAGGUAUAAUGCGUAAAAUGAUGAGUAUUUUGAUUAGAUUUUAAGCUUAUAUGACAGAAAUUUGUAUGACAUUUUAAUUUUGUACCUUUUCUCUAUGUAUUAUGAUGUACUGUGCAAUAUAGUUAUUUUAGAUAUAAUGCGUAAAAAAUGAGUUCUCACACUUUAACCAAUUUAACUUUGUGUCAAAUAUCAUGUCGAAAGUACUAUUUUAGAGAUCGUUUCAAAGAAUAGUUCCUAUGGCGUUAUGUUGCCUCCCCUGUCAACUACUAUUAUUUUCAUUUGAUUUUCACAAAUGAAUGAAAUGAAAAUCAAAUGAAAAGAAAAUCUGCGUCUUCUCAUGCCAAUAUGGUGCCAAUGACUUAGACAGGGGAGCCAACAUAACGCCAUAGGAACUAUUCCUUGAAAGGAUCAAUAGUCCUUAUUUGAAAGGUGAGCCAUUACUUUUGACAUGACAGCUGUUCACCCAUAGAGUUGAAAUGGCGUGUGAGAAGUCAUUUUUUAGGAACUAUUUAUGCCACUUCUAGACAUAAUUAGGUACCAUUUUUAUGAAUUAAUAAUAUUGAAAAUAAAAUAAAAAGCCUUUAUUUAUUUUAUAAUAGUUUAGCGAUCAUUGUUGUUUAUUGUUGUUUGUGCCAAUUCUCCACAUAAAUCGGUUGGUACUAUUUUUGUUAAUUGAUAAUAAUGAGACCUACAAAUUAAAUUAUAUUAAAUUAUAAACGCCUUUUAUUUCUUACAUUUUGCAAUACA